AUCACUUCUCUACCUUGUGCUUAGGAUAAGCAUAUAAUAUCUGUUCUUUUAAGUUUAAUAUCCUGUAUGUCCUCUGUCUAAGGACAAUAAAUUAAAUGGAUUUUUGGAGCUCAAAGAUGGUCUAAGACUUGCUUCAACCACUUUAUGCAGUGAUCUGACAUUUCAGUAUCUCUAGGACUGGUACCUACUCU
rnacentral:snRNA from 1 species